rnacentral:rRNA from 1 species
UUUCAACGGAGAGUUUGAUCCUGGCUCAGGACGAACGCUGGCGGCGUGCUUAACACAUGCAAGUCGAGCGGUAAGGCCCCUUCGGGGGUACACGAGCGGCGAACGGGUGAGUAACACGUGAGCAACC